AAGCCAUGAUUUGAGAAUUUUAUCAGCAUCACUUUGAAUCUCUCCCAUGUCUCAUAUAAGGCUUUAUCAGCAUCAUUUGUCUGAACAUAGAAAUAUUAGACUUUGCUU
rnacentral:snoRNA from 1 species